GAGGGUUUAGCUUAAUUAAAGUGUCUGUUUUGCAUUCAGGCGAUGUAAUUUUWNUAUUACAACCUUUA
rnacentral:tRNA from 1 species